AUUGAACGCUGGCGGCAGGCCUAACACAUGCAAGUCGAACGAGUGGCGGACGGGUGAGUAAUGUCUGGGAAACUGCCUGAUGGAGGGGGAUAACUACUGGAAACGGUAGCUAAUACCGCAUACCAUCGGAUGUGCCCAGAUGGGAUUAGCUAGUAGGUGGGGUAAAGGCGCACCUAGGCGACGAUCCCUAGCGGGUCUGCGAGGAUGCCCAGCCACACUGGACCUGAGACCCGGUCCUUACUCCUACGGGAGGCAGCAUGGGGGAAUAAUGGACAACGGGCGCAAGCCUGAUGCCGCCAUGCCGCGUGUAUGAAGAAGGCCUUCGGGUUGUAAAGUACUUUCAGCGGGGAGGCGUUACCCGCAGAAGAAGCACCGGCUAACUCCGUGCCAGCAGCCGCGGUAAUUC
rnacentral:rRNA from 1 species